UACAGAGGUCCCAAGCGUUGUUCGGAUUCACUGGGCGUAAAGGGCGCGUAGGCGGCCUAACAAGUCACUUGUGAAAUCUCCGGGCUUAACUCGGAACUGCCAAGUGAAACUGUCAGGCUAGAGUGCAGAAGGGGCAAUCGGAAUUCUUGGUGUAGCGGUGAAAUGCGUAGAUAUCAAGAGGAACACCUGAGGUGAAGACGGGUUGCUGGGCUGACACUGACGCUGAGGCGCGAAAGCCAGGGGAGCAAACGGG
rnacentral:rRNA from 1 species